ACCCGCUGAACUUAAGCAUAUCAAUAAGCGGAGGAAAAGAAACUAACAAGGAUUCCCCUAGUAACGGCGAGUGAACCGGGAAGAGCUCAAAUUUGAAAUCUGGCAGUCUUCGAUUGUCCGAGUUGUAAUCUAUAGAAGCGUUUUCCGUGCUGAACUGUGUAUAAGUCCCUUGGAACAGGGUAUCAAAGAGGGUGACAAUCCCGUACUUUACACAAUCAUCAGUGCUCUGUGAUACGUUCUCUACGAGUCGAGUUGUUUGGGAAUGCAGCUCAAAAUGGGUGGUAAAUUCCAUCUAAAGCUAAAUAUUGGCGAGAGACCGAUAGCGAACAAGUACCGUGAGGGAAAGAUGAAAAGCACUUUGGAAAGAGAGUUAAACAGUACGUGAAAUUGUUGAAAGGGAAACGAAAUUCAUGAAUCAUGUUUAUUGGACUCAGCCGUUCUUCGGUGUACUUCCUUUAAACGGGUCAACAUCAGUUUUGUCCGAUGGAUAAAGGUAGUAGGAAGGUGGCUCUCUCGGGAGUGUUAUAGCCUAUUGCUGCAUACAUUGGAUGAGACUGAGGACUGCAGCUUGCCUUUAUGGCCGGGGUUCGCCC
rnacentral:rRNA from 1 species